AGUGAACGCUGGCGGUAGGCCUAACACAUGCAAGUCGAACGGCAGCACAGUAAGAGCUUGCUCUUACGGGUGGCGAGUGGCGGACGGGUGAGGAAUACAUCGGAAUCUACUUUUUCGUGGGGGAUAACGUAGGGAAACUUACGCUAAUACCGCAUACGACCUACGGGUGAAAGCAGGGGAUCUUCGGACCUUGCGCGAUUGAAUGAGCCGAUGUCGGAUUAGCUAGUUGGCGGGGUAAAGGCCCACCAAGGCGACGAUCCGUAGCUGGUCUGAGAGGAUGAUCAGCCACACUGGAACUGAGACACGGUCCAGACUCCUACGGGAGGCAGCAGUGGGGAAUAUUGGGCAAUGGGCGCAAGCCUGAUCCAGCCAUACCGCGUGGGUGAAGAAGGCCUUCGGGUUGUAAAGCCCUUUUGUUGGGAAAGAAAAGCAGCAGGUUAAUACCCCGCUGUUCUGACGGUACCCAAAGAAUAAGCACCGGCUAGCUUCGUG
rnacentral:rRNA from 1 species